rnacentral:rRNA from 1 species
GACUCUCGGCAACGGAUAUCUCGGCUCUCGCAUCGAUGAAGAACGUAGCGAAAUGCGAUACCUGGUGUGAAUUGCAGAAUCCCGCGAACCAUUGAGUCUUUGAACGCAAGUUGUGCCCGAGGCCACUCGGCCGAGGGCACGCCUGCCUGGGCGUCA